GACGAACGCUGGCGGCGUGCUUAACACAUGCAAGUCGAACGAUGAAACCUAGCUUGCUAGGUCGAUUAGUGGCGAACGGGUGAGUAACACGUGACUAACCUGCCCCUUUCUCUGGGAUAACGCUCCGAAAGGAGUGCUAAUACCGGAUACUCACACCGAGGCACAUGCCUUGGUGUGGAAAGUUUUUCGGAAAGGGAUGGAGUCGCGGCCGAUCAGCUUGUUGGUGAGGUAACGGCUCACCAAGGCGACGACGGGUAGCCGGCCUGAGAGGGCGACCGGCCACACUGGGACUGAGACACGGCCCAGACUCCUACGGGAGGCAGCAGUGGGGAAUAUUGCACAAUGGGCGCAAGCCUGAUGCAGCGACGCCGCGUGAGGGAUGAAGGUCUUCGGAUUGUAAACCUCUUUCAGUAGGGACGAAGCGAAAGUGACGGUACCUAAAGAAGAAGCACCGGCUAACUACGUGCCAGCCGCCGCAGUAA
rnacentral:rRNA from 1 species